rnacentral:rRNA from 1 species
AGUGAACGCUGGCGGUAGGCCUAACACAUGCAAGUCGAACGGCAGCACAGUAAGAGCUUGCUCUUACGGGUUGCGAGUGGCGGACGGGUGAGGAAUACAUCGGAAUCUACUUUUUCGUGGGGGUUAACGUAGGGAAACUUACGCUCAUACCGCAUACGACCUACGGGUGAAAGCAGGGGAUCUUCGGACCUUGCGCGAUUGAAUGCGCCGAUGUCGGAUUAGCUAGUUGGCGGGGUAAAGGCCCACCAAGGCGACGAUCCGUAGCUGGUCUGAGAGGAGGAUAGGCCACACGGGAACUGAGACACGGUCCAGACUACUACGGGAGGCAGCAGUGGGGAAUAUUGGACAAUGGGCGCAAGCCUGAUCCAGCCAUACCGCGUGGGUGAAGAAGGCCUUCGGGUUGUAAAGCCCUUUUGUUGGGAAAGAAAAGCAGCAGGUUAAUACCCCGCUGUUCUGACGGUACCCAAAGAAUAAGCACCGGCUAACCUCGUG